rnacentral:tRNA from 5 species
GUCCCGUAGUGUAGCGGUUAUCACGUCGCCCUGUCACGGCGAAGAUCGCGGGUUCGAUUCCCGUCGGGACCG